GGGGCUAUAGCUCAGUUGGUUAGAGCGCUUCGUUGACAUCGAAGAGGUCAGCGGUUCGAAUCCGUUUAGCCCCACCA
rnacentral:tRNA from 1 species